CCUCCCUGAGCUGCUCCAGCUCCUGCUUCAGGACAUCAUACUCGGCCUCCAGCUCGUCGUAUUGCUGCUUGAGGGUGAGCUUCUCCUCCAGGACCACCAGCCCGUACUCGGCCGCCUGGAUCUUCUCGUGGGUGGUUUCGGGGAUCGGGCCCCUUAAGGAGAGAGCCGAUCCGGUCCUGAGAGAACGGACCUUGGCGGAGCCAAUAAGAGAAUAUGAGCCGCAAUACAACCUGGAGCCGAAAUGAAGAAGGUCCGCCAAAGAUGAAGGAAAAUCCGCCAAGGAGUCUUUAUUGAGCGAUUCAGCUGAAAAGGACACUAGUAGCGAUCAUUCAGUCUACUAGCGUAUCAUACAUUCAAAAUAAAGCCAUAUUUAUACAAUA